UAUGAUACUAAAAAAAUUUGUACCAAAAUGUUAUGGCAGUGAGGUUUAGUGCAUAUCAGCUUAUGAAUUGAAACAUGGUAAAUAACAAAUUUAUUACAUAUUUAUGUGAUAGUGGAAUAUAACUAACAUUUUUAUAUUAAUGUGACUAUAUAGUAUAUACCAUAUCUUUCAAUUUAAAAUUCAACGGCAAUCUGCUUUUUCUUUCUUCACGAAAUACAACCCUAAAACCCCUCUUCGCCCCUUUCUCCUUCCUCCGACCUCCUAUUGUACUCGGCGACCGGCGAUGGAUGGUCAUCUCCUAUUCUCCUUUGUGUUUUGUUGAAGACUUGAAGUUCCUCUUCUCAAGUUCUCUACUCCUCAAGUUCCCCGCUCAAUGCUCAGUCAACGAGUCACAAGUCUCACGACCCAAGUUCUUCUCGAGUUCUUCUCGUCGACCUGACGGAGUGACGGUGUUCAGGGGUGCUCACCGUUCUCGGCCUCCAGCUCCUCCAAGGCUCCAAUUAAGUAUACGUUGCGCUACCCCUGUCCCGGCGAGUGUAAUGUCGGCUGCACGAUUUGAAUUCACACUCGAUACUCAUAGACGAUUACGAAAUGUGCCUCUUCUAAACAGAAUGACUCGCGAGGUGGAGGAGUUGUGGAACACUUGGGUGAAGGACCGGGGGAGGUUGUGCUAAUUCUUCGACGUGGAAAUGAGAAAAAAAUCAUACAAGGUGAAUCUGAAGAAUUUUGUAUGGGCUGAUGGGACUAAAGAAACCUAUUUGAGUUAUGGAUAGAGCGAGUUUGUGCACUCGAACAACUUGCAAAUGGAAGAUUUCAUUGUGUUCGAAUGGUAUGACAUGGGGGAAUUGUCUUAUCGUGUAAGGAUAUGGCGGAAUGACAUCGACAUAACAGGUGAUGAGGCUCAUGCACUCAGACAGUACAUUAUAGAACCGAUGCUCUCCUUCAGAUUCCAGUUCAUACCAAGCUACAUCUUCAAACCCACUAUUGUAAGUUGAAGUUUAUUAAGAGGCACUUGUAAAUUUAAGAUUUAUCAUGUUACACCAGUACCCUCCUUCGGAUUGAUGAUGUGGGUUUUUAUUCUUUCUAAUUUUUUGGUGUAAAACAUUCCAUUGGCCUUCGCAAGAGAACAUUUUAAGGAUAUUGGAGAGUCCGCCGAAGUUACGUUGUGUGGCAGUAAGACAUAUCAAGCAACUAUGAACAUAAAGUACAAUCCAAAAAAGAAAAUUGUCUCUUGCAGUAUAAAGAAAGGAGUACAAAAAUUUAUUGAUGGUGAGAAUGUCGAAGAGAAUGAGAAAGCUAUCAUUGAGCUAAUAUAUAUGGAACCACCAUUUUUCAGCCUCAUAUUUACUUGAAUGGAUGAUCAUGGUGCUUCAAAAUCAAUUUGUAAGUAUAUUCAGCAGGAGUCUUUGAUGUGAUACUGUGGGGUUGGUUAUGGCUGUGCCAUGAACGUUGCACAUUUUUUUGGUGAUUAAGGUCGUACUUUUAAAAAGCAUGUGUAGCAGUUAUAUAUGUGAGUAGCUAAUAUUUUGCUAUGUAGACAAAGAUAUGACUUAUAUGGUGUUAAUUCCUUUAAUGCCUUAGUGGAAUGUAUCUGCUAUAAGGCUUUUCGUA